ensembl:lncRNA
GAGGGGAGGAGUGGGGGCAGUCAAGCAGUCAGCAGGAAAGGAGCGGCGGCGGCCCGGCUGCUCACAGUGUCUGUGCCACCCCCUCUACUGCCGCUGCCCGGGCUCCAGCGGUGUCUCCGGCUCAGCCCCCUGCGCCCGCUCAGUGUCACUGCUUCUCGCUCUGGGAAAAUGGCGGCCGCAGCCGCGGCGGCGGCGGCGGCGGCGGUAGCGGCGGCGGCGGCAGCUGCACGGGGCCCGCCCGCCCCGCUCCGCAGGGGCAGCGGGGGGAGGGGACGAAGCCGGCGGCCGCCAUCUUGCUUGUGGGCGGCCGUCAGCCCCGGGCGCUGCACUGAGGUUCCGAGGUAGGGCUGAAGGGUUAGGGGAGAAACAAGAAAGGCUUUUUCUGCAGCAGGUGUAGUCGUUGACUACUCGAAAUCGACCGUGGUAUUUGGGAGACCUUUUUUUGUUGUUGUUUAGAAGCGGGUGUGGGGUGAGAGAGAAUUAGGGUGGUGAAAAGGCGUCUUCCCCGGAAGAGACCCGAAGACAGGGAAGCUUCCGUCCCUCAUGGAGAGGGGAAUGAGGAUACUACCAUCCCGGGGUGGAAGAAAAGUGAAUAGCCUCCAAGAGCGACCGUCACCGCCUCACUGUCCUUUAACUGUGUACCAGUCCCCCACCCUUUUUGGUGGCAGCUCGGGUUCUCUCACUCUUUCCCUUCCCCCUCCGCCCCCUUCCGGCCUCAGGCAAAGGGCGAACCCGGCUGGGGUUUCACUCGACGCCCACUAGGGGCUGAAGGGGCUUAGGAGGCUUCAGUGCGCAAGCUCCGGACACCGGAUAAAAGCCGAGCUGGCCGGGUCCAGAGCCGUCUCGAUGGAGGAGAAAGAAACGGAAGCGACCAGGGGGGAGAGAGACUCUGCAAGAAUAGUACGGCCACCAUCAACGCUGCCACCGUGUUUCGGGUGGUAUAUCUCAGAAACCCUGUUUGCAAUCAUCAGUAACCAAGAAAAUCAUAUGACUCUUGCAUGUCCUGUAGAGUCUGGUAUAACAUGCUUCUGCAGAAAAGAGAGGUCUUGGAGAGCUACAAGAAUGCAAGAAAAUGAGCUGUACAACCUUAAUCUGAAUACUCUGAGGACCUAUGUCUUGGGUGACAAGAAAGAGAAAGCAGUCUUUUGAAGGAUCAUUCCUCUAUGCCUAAGUAAGGAAAGUUUAUGGAGCCUGGGUAGGCAAUUGGACUAUUCCACAAGGAGUUUUAAGUGGUUCUGAAUAGGAGUGUAAUCUAGACCUCUGAAUUCAGUAGGCACCAGUAAAUGGAGUCAGGAAGUCCUGUGUUAAAAUCUAGCCUCAGACAAUUAAUUACUAGUUUGGGUAAAUCACUUAAUCUCUGGUUGCCUUAAUCCACUGGAGAAGGAAACAGCAAACCAUUCUAGUAUCUUUGCCCAGAAAACUCCAUGAACAGUAUGGUCCAUGGGGUCAUGAAGAGUCUGACAUGACUGACAUGUCUAAAGAACAAAAAAAAAAUAGUAUUUGACUGACUGGUGGGAGUUGAAAUCUACAGUGGAAUGAAUGUGAAUUGUUCCUGGUGACUAGGAUUAUGUUAUAUAAGGGGCUGGGUUAUUUCAGCACCAUGGCCAGGAAUAGUAUUAGAGUGUUGAGCUGUAUUAAAUUAAGACUGACUGAGUCAGAGUUAGAAUCUUUAGCAGAAUAAUUUUGAAUUUUUCCUGGGGGGACUUGGACUAUGCUAUACAGGGAAUCUGUUAUUUCAGCACCAUGGUCAGGCAUAGCAAUGGAAUAUUGAGCUGUUCAGCAUUUCAGUGGCAUUAUGCCAAGGGGAUGUAUCUAAAAUUUUGUUGUUUAGUCAUGUAUGACUCCUUGUGUCCCCAAAGUUUUAUUGGCUAGCAUACCAGACUGUCUCAUUUUAUAGGUGAGGAAAUUGAGGCCAACAACGUUAAGUAACUUUCUCAGGAUCACAAAACCAGUAUGUCUGAGGCUGGACUUAAACUUAGGUCUUUCUGACUCCAGGUCUUGUACUCUAUCCACUGUGCUAUUUAGCUACCAGAACUCUCCUUAUCUCUGACUAUUAGAAUUCCUUUCUUAGAGGUUCUAAAAUAUAAGAUCCUUAUUUAUCAGAUGAGGAAACAAAUCCAAAAAGGUUAAAUGAUUUGCCUGGGGUCAC